rnacentral:rRNA from 1 species
CUCGUAGGCGGUUGAGUAAGUCGGGUGUGAAAACUCUGGGCUUAACCCAGAGCCGCCACCCGAUACUGCUCUGACUUGAGUUCGGUAGGGGAGCAGGGAAUUCCUAGUGUAGCGGUGAAAUGCGCAGAUAUUAGGAGGAACACCGGUGGCGAAGGCGCUGCUCUGGGCCGAUACUGACGCUGAGGAGCGAAAGCGUGGGUAGCAAACA